rnacentral:rRNA from 1 species
GACGAACCGUGCGAACGUUGUUCGGAUUCACUGGGUUUAAAGGGUGCGUAGGUGGGCAAGUAAGUCAGUGGUGAAAUCUCCGGGCUUAACCCGGAAACUGCCAUUGAUACUAUUUGUCUUGAAUACUGUGGAGGUCAGCGGAAUAUGUCAUGUAGCGGUGAAAUGCUUAGAUAUGACAUAGAACACCAAUUGCGAAGGCAGCUCGUUACACGAAUAUUGACACUGAUGCACGAAAGCGUGGGGAUCAAACAGG